rnacentral:rRNA from 1 species
GCCGGUCUCAGUUCGGAUCGGAGUCUGCAACCCGACUCCGUGAAGCUGGAUUCGCUAGUAAUCGCGCAUCAGCCAUGGCGCGGUGAAUACGUUCCCGGGCCUUGUACACACCGCCCGUCAAGCCAUGGGAGCCGAGGGCGCUUGAAGUGCGUCGCCGCGAGGCGCGCCCUAGAGCGAAAUCGGUGACUGGGGCUAAGUCGUAACAAGGUAAC